UGAGGAGAAGAGCCUACCAGGCAGAGGGGACAACUCGUGCAAAGGCCCUGGGGCAGGGUAUGCUUAGAAGGUCCAGGGACAAGGAGGAGCCCAAUGAACACAGUGCUGUUCCUAGGGCUGUCGCAACAAAGCACAACAAACUAUGUGACUUGAAACAACAGAAAUUGGUUCCCUCAUAGUUCUGGAGGCUGGAAAUCUGAAACUGAGGCUCCGGGAGGAGGUGACAGCCCGCUGCUGCCCCACGCAGCCUGGACGGGAGCAGAAGGCAGGUGCCAGUGCCUGGCGAAGUCUCUUGCUCAGUCUGAGAGCUCGUUCAGGUGCAGACUUUCUGCUCUGCCCCAGGCUGAGGUUUAGGAAGGCAUAGAGACCGUCGGCAGAUGUUUUCUUUUUUUUCCAUCUUUUCUUUUUUUAUUGAGUUCAUAACAGUUGACAUCAUUGU